rnacentral:rRNA from 1 species
AGUCUAUGCCAUACCACCCUGAACAUGAGAUCUCAUCUGAUUUCAGAAGCCAAGCAGGAGGACCCGGGGAGAUGACUCAGUAGAAUAAGUGCUUCCCUGGCAAGCACAAGGGCCUGAGUUC